UGGGGAAUAUUGCACAAUGGGCGCAAGCCUGAUGCAGCCAUGCCGCGUGUAUGAAGAAGGCCUUCGGGUUGUAAAGUACUUUCAGCGGGGAGGAAGGGAGUAAAGUUAAUACCUUUGCUCAUUGACGUUACCCGCAGAAGAAGCACCGGCUAACUCCGUGCCAGCAGCCGCGGUAAUACGGAGGGUGCAAGCGUUAAUCGGAAUUACUGGGCGUAAAGCGCACGCAGGCGGUUUGUUAAGUCAGAUGUGAAAUCCCCGGGCUCAACCUGGGAACUGCAUCUGAUACUGGCAAGCUUGAGUCUCGUAGAGGGGGGUAGAAUUCCAGGUGUAGCGGUGGAAUGCGCAGAUAUCUGGAGGAACACCGAUGGCGAAGGCAGGUCACUGGGCCAUUACUGACGCUGAGGAGCGAAAGCAUGGGUAGCGAACAGG
rnacentral:rRNA from 1 species